rnacentral:tRNA from 1 species
ACCUGGCUGGCUCAGUAGGUAGAGCAUGUGACUCUUGAUCUUGGGGCCAUGAGCUUGAGCCUCAUGUUGGGAU